ACGCUGGCGGCAGGCUUAACACAUGCAAGUCGAACGGUAACAGGAGAAAGCUUGCUUUCUUGCUGACGAGUGGCGGACGGGUGAGUAAUGCUUGGGAAUCUGGCUUAUGGAGGGGGAUAACUACGGGAAACUGUUGCUAAUACCGCGUAAUAUCUUCAGAUUAAAGGGAGGGACUUUCGAGCCACCUGCCAUAAGAUGAGCCCAAGUGGGAUUAGGUAGUUGGUUAGGUAAAGGCUGACCAAGCCGACGAUCUCUAGCUGGUCUGAGAGGAUGACCAGCCACACUGGAACUGAGACACGGUCCAGACUCCUACGGGAGGCAGCAGUGGGGAAUAUUGCACAAUGGGGGGAACCCUGAUGCAGCCAUGCCGCGUGAAUGAAGAAGGCCUUCGGGUUGUAAAGUUCUUUCGGUGACGAGGAAGGUUGGUAGGUUAAUAGCCUAUCAAAUUGACGUUAAUCACAGAAGAAGCACCGGCUAACUCCGUGCCAGCAGCCGCGGUAAUACGGGGGGUGCGAGCGUUAAUCGGAAUAACUGGGCGUAAAGGGCACGCAGGCGGUGACUUAAGUGAGAUGUGAAAGCCCCGAGCUUAACUUGGGAAUCGCAUUUCAUACUGGGUCGCUAGAGUACUUUAGGGAGGGGUAGAAUUCCACGUGUAGCGGUGAAAUGCGUAGAAAUGUGGAGGAAUACCGAAGGCGAAGGCAGCCCCUUGGGAAUGUACUGACGCUCAUGUGCGAAAGCGUGGGGAGCAAACAGGAUUAGAUACCCUGGUAGUCCACGCUGUAAACGAUGUCGAUUUGGGGAUUGGGCUUUGAGCUUGGUGCCCGUAGCUAACGUGAUAAAUCGACCGCCUGGGGAGUACGGCCGCAAGGUUAAAACUCAAAUGAAUUGACGGGGGCCCGCACAAGCGGUGG
rnacentral:rRNA from 1 species